rnacentral:misc_RNA from 1 species
GAAAUGCGAUAAGUAAUGUGAAUUGCAGAAUUCAGUGAAUCAUCGAAUCUUUGAACGCACCUUGCGCUCCUUGGUAUUCCUUGGAGCAUGCCUGUUUGAGUAUCAUGAAAUCUUCAAAGUAAAUCUUUUGUUAACUCAAUUGGUUUCUACUUUGGUAUUGGAGGUCUUUGCAGCUUCACACCUGCUCCUCUUUGUUCAUUAGCUGGAUCUCAGUGUUAUGCUUGGUUCCACUCGGCGUGAUAAGUUAUCUAUCGCUGAGGACACUGUAAAGGGUGGCCAAGGUAAAUGCAGAUGAACCGCUUCUAAUAGUCCAUUGACUUGGACAAUACUUUUAUGAUCUGAUCUCAAAUCAGGUAGGACUACCCACUGAACUUAAGC